rnacentral:rRNA from 1 species
UACGUAGGGGCCUAGCGUUGUCCGGAAUUAUUGGGCGUAAAGAGCUCGUAGGCGGUUCGGCAAGUCGGAUGUGAAAUCUCCACGCUCAACGUGGAGGGGCCAUUCGAAACUGCCGUGACUCGAGUCCGGUAGGGGAGUGUGGAAUUCCCGGUGUAGCGGUGAAAUGCGCAGAUAUCGGGAGGAACACCGGUGGCGAAGGCGGCAUCCUGGACCGGCAUUGACGCUGAGGCGCGAAAGCCAGGGGAGCAAACGGG